rnacentral:rRNA from 1 species
GACGAACGCUGGCGGCGUGCUUAACACAUGCAAGUCGAACGGAAAGGCCCUGCUUUUGUUGGGUGCUCGAGUGGCGAACGGGUGAGUAACACGUGAGUAACCUGCCCUUGACUUUGGGAUAACUUCAGGAAACUGGGGCUAAUACCGGAUAGGAGCUCCUGCUGCAUGGUGGGGGUUGGAAAGUUUCGGCGGUUGGGGAUGGACUCGCGGCUUAUCAGCUUGUUGGUGGGGUAGUGGCUUACCAAGGCUUUGACGGGUAGCCGGCCUGAGAGGGUUACCGGCCACAUUGGGACUGAGAUACGGCACAGGCUCCUAUGGGCGGCAGCAGUGGGGAAUAUUGCACAAUGGGCGGAAGCCUGAUGCAGCAACGCCGCGUGCGGGAUGACGGCCUUCGGGUUGUAAACCGCUUUCGCCUGUGACGAAGCGUGAGUGACGGUAAUGGGUAAAGAAGCACCGGCUAACUACGUG